rnacentral:lncRNA from 10 species
AGGCUAAGAAUAUUGUACACAAAGAUUCUUGAUGUUCUUGAGGAAAUCCCUAAAAAUGCAGCAUAUAGAAAGUAUACAGAACAGAUUACAAAUGAGAAGCUGGCUAUGGUUAAAGCGGUAAGAACCAGAUGUUAAAAAAUUAGAAGACCAACUUCAAGGCGGUCAAUUAGAAGAGGUGAUUCUUCAGGCUGAACAUGAACUAAAUCUGGCAAGAAAAAUGAGGGAAUGGAAACUAUGGGAGCCAUUAGUGGAAGAGCCUCCUGCCGAUCAGUGGAAAUGGCCAAUAUAAUUAUUAAGUGACUUUGGUGUGUUCAUGGGAAACUGAUGUAAUUAAAUAUUCUGUUAUAUUAAGAGCGUGUUCUUAUUACUGACAUUUUGUAAUCAAGAAAAGUGAUAUAGAAAAUAUGUAGGAGACUGUUAAAAUUGGUGAUUAUGGUAAUAUGGUCAUGUGAAUCAAUUUUUGAUUUAUAAAGUACUCACACAAGUUGUUUCAAAGAUGAUAUUUCUGUGAACAGAGAGGCCAUGGGAAGAUUUGAAAAUUAUUAAAGAAAAAUUCCUACAGAUUUUCAAUGCAGAGACCAUAAUCAAAAAGUAAACUUUCUUUAGUAGUAUGUUCAAUACAUCAUUUAAUUUUUUAAGUUAUCCUGAAGAAGGAAAGGUCCUUAAUUAUUAUAGUCUAAACAAAUUUAUAGAUUACUGUUUGAAGUAAAUAAUACGAGUGAAUAUUUUCAAAUGUGAUAAAAUAGCACAAGUGGCUGGUGAUAAAAUUUGAAAUUAUGGUUAACCUCAGCUGUGAUCUUAUGUAUGUAAAGUGAAAUUUAAAUAGAUAAUUAUAGGUUGAUUACAAAAUCCAUAGUGUCAUUUUAUUUUAGUCAUUAUUGAAUUAUACCAUUUACUCUGUUUUCUUAUAGUCUUAAUUUUAUUAUAUUUUGUUGUUACUGUAUUAUAUUUGAAAACCUUCAAAUUAGAAUACAUUGUACAGUUAAAGAAAUUGACUUGGUACUUAAAAGAAAGAUUUCCCAUUGCAUACAGGUUAUUGGAGAAAUUUUCCUUUUGUUGCAUUUGUGGAAGUUAGUUUUCUGGCCCGUGGCCUUUAAUUUUCUUAAUCAACCUAAUUACAUCAGGAUAGAGGUAGAGUUUCUGUAAAAGAAGAGACAUUAAGAGUUCCUGAAAUUUAUAUCUGGCAUACGGAUAGGCUUAUAUUCAAAACAUCUUAGUCAUACGACCAUAAAUUAAAAGUGGAGUCACUAAAUAGUUUGCAGUACGUUUCUAAUAUAAGUGUAGGUGGGUAUCAAAACAAGACAAAUGCUGUUCAGGGAAAGAAGUUGGCAAGCUUAAGGUUAAACAAAAAUAAAAUUACAUGUGUUUU